UCUGCACCAUGUGUGGAGGACAGUGGA
rnacentral:piRNA from 1 species